UGCGGCUGUGCAAUGCAGCGGUCGAUCAGAAGCUAAUCUGACCCAGACAGAGAGACACUAGAAUCCAAAGCUGGAGCACUGCUCUUCCUUCUGUCAGAUAGACAUUGCAUAUGCACAAGAUUCUCACCUUUCUUUGCUUUGCCCCGUCAUAAAGCUGUCAGAGAAGGGAAAGGGGAGAGCUAGCAGAACCUUCGCAGCCCUGACCACAAGAGUAUAUUUUAAGGCCAUGUUCUUCCAAUAAUUAAGAACAUGGGGAGAAAAGGGUAAACAAACAUGCUCAUUACUCUGAUUGGGAGAAAGAAAGAAGAAGAUACUGCACCAGUUCUCUUGUGAUCCUGUUCAAGUUCUCUGGAGCUAAUUAACACGGUCAACCACUGAUCCCGAUCGAUGAAGGUGAACUUUAUAGUAAAGAGAUUCUCGCCCGGUCAGAUCGAUCGAGCCCUCCACGAUCUACAUGGACCAUGGAAUUAGCCUGGUAUCUAAUGGAGCCCGGGUCACAGAAAUGUCAAGGUUACUUAAGCAUGGGAUGGAUGGAUCUUGCAUGGUGUGUUGCUAAUUGCACAGGCCGCUUGACCCAACACAUCACUGCACAUGCAAGCAUGUUCGACUGUGGCCAGAUUAGCUUUAAUUUGAUGCGCAAAGGGAGACACGGGAGCCAAACAUGCUACACUUACGCGUGUUAGCUAGGUAGGUUCUCUGCCAACCCAGACCACAUAUAUACCAUGUGUCUCCUCGCAUUAUGCUCGUGUUUUUUAGGUACGUAUAUAUAUUUUUCUUCAGCUCCGAAAGCCUUUCUAAUUUCGAUGUGUGCUAAGUGCCCCUGAGGCCUUUUUUUUUCGAAAAGGGGAAGUGCCCCUGAGGCCUUAUAUAUAUUUUUUCUAUUUAGGGGUCUUUUCUGUAAAGUUCCCAGG
rnacentral:lncRNA from 1 species